rnacentral:sRNA from 1 species
AAUAUGCAAUAUCUUCUGUGGCCACAGCAACAGAAAGGGCGAUUUCUUAACCUGCUGCAGUUACAUGUGUAGGUGGAUGCUGGAUAUUACACAUGGUAUCCUUUCAACCCUCAAAAUGGUUGCAAGUUCACAGUGUGCCCGAGCACGUGUGGGAAGCGGGCGUGCACCGAGAACAACGAGUGCUGCCACCCCGAGUGCCUGGGCAGCUGCAGCGCGCCUGACAACGACACGGCCUGUGUAGCUUGCCGCCACUACUACUAUGCCGGUGUCUGUGUGCCUGCCUGCCCGCCCAACACCUACAGGUUUGAGGGCUGGCGCUGUGUGGACCGUGACUUCUGCGCCAACAUCCUCAGCGCCGAGAGCAGCGACUCCGAGGGGUUUGUGAUCCACGACGGCGAGUGCAUGCAGGAGUGCCCCUCGGGCUUCAUCCGCAACGGCAGCCAGAGCAUGUACUGCAUCCCUUGUGAAGGUCCUUGCCCGAAGGUCUGUGAGGAAGAAAAGAAAACAAAGACCAUUGAUUCUGUUACUUCUGCUCAGAUGCUCCAAGGAUGCACCAUCUUCAAGGGCAAUUUGCUCAUU